rnacentral:lncRNA from 1 species
CCUCCCUCCCCUCCAGCGGCAGUAGCUGUAGCAGCUUCAGCGAAGCCGGAGAUGGGCAGAGAGCGCGCGCGGCUCAGCAGCUCCAGAUUCACUGCUCUCUCCUGCAGCUCCCGGCGCCCCCGCCGCUGUCGCCGCCUCAGUGUCCCCCGGCUCCAGUCCCGCUCUUAGGACAGCGCCGCCACCGCCGCCUGGCCCUGCCUGCCUCCUGCGCCGCGCAGCCCUCGCGCGCUCCCCGGAUGGCGCUUUACCCCUAGGACCGGCUCUCGAGCCCCACUGUCCCGUCGUAUUUCUUCCCAGUGAAUUCUGACCUCAUUCCCUCGACACAAUGGUGCCUCUCCAGAUUUUUUGACAGUCACCUCAGGAAAUUGACACAGACACGCUGUGAUCCUGGCUUCUUGCAGUUACUUUGUGUGUUCUCAGCACCUGGGCUGUUCAGGGUGUGAUUAAGCAUGAAAAAAUAAAGACCA